rnacentral:rRNA from 1 species
AUUGAACGCUGGCGGCAUGCCUUACACAUGCAAGUCGAACGGUAACGGGCCUUCGGGUGCCGACGCGUGGCGAACGGGUGAGUAAUACAUCGGAACGUGCCCGAUCGUGGGGGAUAACGAGGCGAAAGCUUUGCUAAUACCGCAUACGAUCUACGGAUGAAAGCAGGGGACCACAAGGCCUUGCGCGGACGGAGCGGCCGAUGGCAGAUUAGGUAGUUGGUGGGAUAAAAGCUUACCAAGCCGACGAUCUGUAGCUGGUCUGAGAGGAGGAUCAGCCACACUGGGACUGAGACACGGCCCAGACUCCUACGGGAGGCAGCAGUGGGGAAUUUUGGACAAUGGGCGCAAGCCUGAUCCAGCCAGGCCGCGUGCAGGAUGAAGGCCUUCGGGUUGUAAACUGCUUUUGUACGGAACGAAAAGCCUUCUUUUAAUACAGGAGGGUCAUGACGGUACCGGAAGAAUAAGCACCGGCUAACUACGUG